CCCAGGCGCCGUCUCCCCACUCUGCGCGCCCUCGGCUGCGGGGUAGCGGGCAGCCCUGCGCUGCCGGCCGCCUAGCCUGCACCCCCCGCCCUGGGAGGGAAGCCUCGCUCCAGCCGCGUCGUUUCCGCGCCGAAGUGCGAUCCGGGGCCCCGCGCUGGAGUCCCCUGCUCUCAGGCUGGUCUGGAAGGUGGUGGUGGGGUUCAGGGUCCCCGGAAAGCUGGGGUUCCAGGGUGGCAGUUGCUGGAGUACCAGGGCACCAAGUGGAGGAUGUGGUAGACAGCCUCUAAGAUGCGCCCCCUGCCAAUGAUCUCUGCCUCCAGGGAGGAGCUAGAAGGCAGAGAGAAAGCCACUCAGGACUUCCCAUCCCAGAAGAUAAAGGUGAGGAAAGCAGCAGCAGCAGCCACAGGCCAGUAUUCCAGAGCAGCUUUGGGUUCCUGUCAAGACCUGCUUUGAGAAGGAGGUGGCUGUGGGGCUGGAGGGCUGGGCCUGUUCCUGAGCUGGCUGCUGGCAGCACAGCAAUGAGGCAACAUUGAGAACUGCGACACGAGGCCCAGUCCUGCUACUAAACCAACUGUGUGGACUUGCAUAGUCACUUCACCCCUCGGGCCUCCAUUUCUCCACUUUGGAAAGCAGUGUUGGGACGAUGUUAAGGGUUUGCAACCUUCCAACAUGAAGACUUAUUUUUAAAAGCAAAACAUUUCAAAGAGUCCACAUGACAGUAGUGUUCAUUUUGGCAUCUGUUGAUUUAACAAAUACAAAAUUAGGCUGGGUGUAGUUGCUAACGCCUGUAAUUCCAGCACUUUGGGAGACCGAGGCAGGAGGAUCACCUGAAAUCAGGAGUUCGAGACCAGCCUGGCCAACAUGGUGGAACUCCAUCACUACC
rnacentral:lncRNA from 1 species